rnacentral:rRNA from 1 species
UACAGAGGUCUCAAGCGUUGUUCGGAUUCAUUGGGCGUAAAGGGUGUGUAGGUGGCGCCGUUAGUCGGGUGUGAAAUUUCGGAGCUUAACUCCGAAACUGCAUUCGAUACUGCGGUGCUUGAGGGCUGGAGAGGAGACUGGAAUUCAUGGUGUAGCAGUGAAAUGCGUAGAGAUCAUGAGGAAGACCAGUGGCGAAGGCGGGUCUCUGGACAGUUCCUGACACUGAGACACGAAGGCCAGGGGAGCAAACGGG